ACACGGACCAAGGAGUGCAACAUGCCCGCGAGUCUUGGAGUGCAAAACUCAGCGGCGCAAUGAAAGUGAAGGCAGGCUUGCCCUGCCGAGGCGAGAGCCUUCUUCGGGAGGUGCAUCGUCGACCGAUCCCAGGUCACGCUGUGGCGGGAUUUGAGUGAGAGCGUGCCUGUUGCGACCCGAAAGAUGGUGAACUAUGCCUGAAUAGGGUGAAGCCAGAGGAAACUCUGGUGGAAGCUCGUAGCGAUUCUGACGUGCAAAUCGAUCGUCUAAUUUGGGUAUAGGGGCGAAAGACUAAUCGAACCAUCUAGUAGCUGGUUCCCUCCGAAGUUUCCCUCAGGAUAGCUGGUGCCCGGUGCAGUUUUAUCAGGUAAAGCGAAUGAUUAGAGGUCUUGGGGUUGAAACAACUUCAACCUAUUCUCAAACUUUAAAUGGGUAAGACGCCCGUCUUUCUUAGCUGAAGUCGGGCAUUGAAUGCCGGGGCUCCUAGUGGGCCAUUUUUGGUAAGCAGAACUGGCGAUGUGGGAUGAACCAAAAGCCGGGUUAAGGUGCCCGAAUCGACGCUCAUCAGACACCAUGAAAGGUGUUGGUUGAUCUAGACAGCAGGACGGUGGCCAUGGAAGUCGGAAUCCGCUAAGGAGUGUGUAACAACU
rnacentral:rRNA from 1 species